rnacentral:rRNA from 1 species
AGAGUUUGAUCCUGGCUCAGGAUGAACGCUGGCGGCGUGCCUAAUACAUGCAAGUCGAACGCACAGCGAAAGGUGCUUGCACCUUUCAAGUGAGUGGCGAACGGGUGAGUAGCACGUGGAUAACCUACCUCAAGGUUGGGGAUAACAUUUGGAAACAGAUGCUAAUACCGAAUAAAACUUCGUAUCGCAUGAUACAAGGUUAAAAGGCGCUACGGCGUCACCUAGAGAUGGAUCCGCGGUGCAUUAGUUAGUUGGUGGGGUAAAGGCCUACCAAGACAAUGAUGCAUAGCCGAGUUGAGAGACUGAUCGGCCACAUUGGGACUGAGACACGGCCCAAACUCCUACGGGAGGCUGCAGUAGGGAAUCUUCCACAAUGGGCGAAAGCCUGAUGGAGCAACGCCGCGUGUGUGAUGAAGGCUUUCGGGUCGUAAAGCACUGUUGUAUGGGAAGAACAGCUAGAGUAGGGAAUGACUUUAGUUUGACGGUACCAUACCAGAAAGGGACGGCUAAAUACGUGCCAGCAGCCGCGGUAAUACGUAUGUCCCGAGCGUUAUCCGGAUUUAUUGGGCGUAAAGCGAGCGCAGACGGUUGAUUAAGUCUGAUGUGAAAGCCCGGAGCUCAACUCCGGAAAGGCAUUGGAAACUGGUCAACUUGAGUGCAGUAGAGGUAAGUGGAACUCCAUGUGUAGCGGUGGAAUGCGUAGGUAUAUGGAAGAACACCAGCGGCGAAGGCGGCUUACUGAACUGUAACUGACGUUGAGGCUCGAAAGUGUGGGUAGCAAACAGGAUUAGAUACCCUGGUAGUCCACACCGUAAACGAUGAACACUAGGUGUUAGGAGGUUUCCGCCUCUUA